GCCCUACGGGGGGCAGCAGUGGGGAAUAUUGCACAAUGGGGGAAACCCUGAUGCAGCGACGCCGCGUGAAGGAAGAAGUAUUUCGGUAUGUAAACUUCUAUCAGCAGGGAAGAAAAUGACGGUACCUGACUAAGAAGCCCCGGCUAACUACGUGCCAGCAGCCGCGGUAAUACGUAGGGGGCAAGCGUUAUCCGGAUUUACUGGGUGUAAAGGGAGCGUAGGCGGCAGGGCAAGCCUGAUGUGAAAGCCCGGGGCUCAACCCCGGGACUGCAUUGGGAACUGCCCCGCUCGAGUGCCGGAGGGGC
rnacentral:rRNA from 1 species